rnacentral:rRNA from 1 species
UACGUAGGGAGCAAGCGUUGUUCGGAUUUACUGGGCGUAAAGGGCGCGUAGGCGGCGCGGUAAGUCACUUGUGAAAUCUCUGAGCUUAACUCGGAACGGCCAAGUGAUACUGCAGUGCUAGAGUGCAGAAAGGGCAAUCGGAAUUCUUGGUGUAGCGGUGAAAUGCGUAGAUAUCAAGAGGAACACCUGAGGCGAAGGCGGGUUGCUAGGCUGACACUGACGCUGAGUGCGCGAAAGCCAGGGGAGCAAACGGG